rnacentral:rRNA from 1 species
GACAAACGCUGGCGGCAUGCCUAACACAUGCAAGUCGAACGGACAGAACAGGGAAGCUUUUCGGAGUGGAACUGGAAAGUUAGUGGCGGAUGGGUGAGUAACGCGUGGACAACCUACCUUGUAAAGGGGAAUAACCUCGAGAAAUCGAAGCUAAUACCCCAUAAUAACCUUGCUUCGCAUGAAGUAAGGAGGAAAGGCGGCCUUAGCGCUGUCGAUACAAGAUGGGUCCGCGUCUGAUUAGCUAGUUGGUGAGGUAAAGGCUCACCAAGGCGACGAUCAGUAGCCGGCCUGAGAGGGUGACCGGCCACAUUGGGACUGAGACACGGCCCAAACUCCUACGGGAGGCAGCAGUGGGGAAUCUUCCGCAAUGGGCGAAAGCCUGACGGAGCAAUGCCGCGUGAGUGAAGAAGGCCUUCGGGUUGUAAAACUCUGUCCUUAUCGAAGAGAGAGUGUUGUAGUAACUGACAAUACUAGGACGGUAGAUGAGGAGGAAGCCCCGGCUAACUAUGUG